GACGAGCCACACAAACGUUAUUCGGAAUUACUGGGCUUAAAGGGUGCGUAGGCGGCCUUAUAAGUCAGUGCUGAAAUAUCCCGGCUUAACCGGGAGGGUGGCAUUGAUACUGUAGGGCUUGAGUAAAGUUGAGGUUGGCGGAAUUGACGGUGUAGCGGUGAAAUGCUUAGAUAUCGUCAAGAACACCGAUAGUGAAGACAGCUAACUAAGCUUUAACUGACGCUGAGGCACGAAAGUGUGGGGAUCAAACAGG
rnacentral:rRNA from 1 species